UUUAUCAAACACUAGCAGUAUUGCCCGGCUCGGGGUUUCAGGGAAUCGCUGGCGAUAUAUCGUGAUGAUCAAAUAUCCGGCCAGCUAAAAUUUGGUUAAAGUGAUUCAAACUGCAGACUCAACGCAAAAUGGUCACAUUUAAUUCAAAGCGUUAAAAAUGUUAUGAAAACAAUUGGUAUGUGUUCACAAAG